rnacentral:rRNA from 1 species
UGGGGAAUAUUGCACAAUGGAGGAAACUCUGAUGCAGCGACGCCGCGUGAGUGAUGAAGUAGUUCGCUAUGUAAAGCUCUAUCAGCAGGGAAGAUAGUGACGGUACCUGACUAAGAAGCUCCGGCUAAAUACGUGCCAGCAGCCGCGGUAAUACGUAUGGAGCAAGCGUUAUCCGGAUUUACUGGGUGUAAAGGGAGUGUAGGUGGCCAGGCAAGUCAGAAGUGAAAGCCCGGGGAUCAACCCCGGGACUGCUUUUGAAACUGCAGGGCUAGAGUGCAGGAGGGGCAAGUGGAAUUCCUAGUGUAGCGGUGAAAUGCGUAGAUAUUAGGAGGAACACCAGUGGCGAAGGCGGCUUGCUGGACUGUAACUGACACUGAGGCUCGAAAGCGUGGGGAGCAAACAGGAUUAGAUACCCUGGUAGU